AGACGAAUGGCUUCUCGCUUCUUCUUCUUCUCUUUUAUCUUCUCUUUUAUCUUCUUUCUUGUCAUCGUCUCAACUUCUCAUUCUCUUCCCUUCGUAUUCUUUCAUGGUCUUACUGGCAGUUGCUCAAGUUCGGAAUCAAACCAUAUCAUUUCAUACUUGAAGGAAUCUGCUGGUGUUGAAGGACAAUGCAUAGAAAUUGGUAAUGGAUCUGUUGAUUCAAUAUUUAUGCCCGUUCUCGACCAG